CUUCAUUCAAACUAAUGCAGCCUAUCUGAAUGCAAUAAUUAUGUCAUUAAUGCCAUAAGAAAAUAUUGCAGAGGUACAGUGAAGAGGCCAUGUAUCGAGCACACAACUCAAAUCCAUGUGCAGUGUGCUUCCUAGAAGCAAAGUCUUGUAACACUGAUAGUUAAUGGCAAAAGAAAAGCAGAGAAGUAUAAAUUAAAUAUUCAGAGUUUACUUGGUCAUUUUGUGUCUGUCCAUCUGCUACUCCUUCAGAAGUUUCCAUGUAGAAGCAAAGAAGACUUUGAUUUUAAGCUCAUUAAAGAUUGUGUCUUAGCUAUAUGAGUCAGUGUUUGCAUCCUUUGGAUGCACCUUGUAAGAAGAAAACUCAGUAAAUUUUGAAAGCAAAACUGUUAUCCACAGCAAAGUUUAGAGAAUAUAGGUAAACAGCAAGGACAAUUUAGAUCAAGCUGUGUGUGCUGUGCUGGUGGCCUCAAUAUAGCUGAACUGCUUUAGUGAUUUCUGUUUUCCUUGCAAGGAAUUCCUUGCACACAGGGUUCUGUCUGUGUCUCGUCACCUGGAGAGUUUGUGUGCUGUGCUGGGCAGUGCUGACACGCUCUUUGCUCCUGCUGUGUGCCUACAUCUCUCUGGGUCUGUGCCUGAAACGAGUCUGCUUCUGAUUCAACAACCUUGGUUGCAGAGUUGUCAACAUGUGACAGUAUAAGACUUUACCUCCCCAUAGCUAAAGAAAAGCACCAGUGAGUUACAAAAUGAAAGAUGAAAACAGAAAUUCAGCUUCUUGUAGCUGAACAAACCCCAACAACAUUGAGCAAGUAGCAGCAGAGCGGAGGAGCUCAGCUGGAUUAUCUGACAGUAGCCAUUUGCUUUAAUGCAAGACAUGUUUCUUUUGUCCAUGUGCAG
rnacentral:lncRNA from 1 species